UACGAAGGGGGCUAGCGUUGUUCGGAAUUACUGGGCGUAAAGCGCACGUAGGCGGAUAUUUAAGUCAGGGGUGAAAUCCCGCAGCUCAACUGCGGAACUGCCUUUGAUACUGGGUAUCUUGAGUAUGGAAGAGGUGAGUGGAAUUCCGAGUGUAGAGGUGAAAUUCGUAGAUAUUCGGAGGAACACCAGUGGCGAAGGCGGCUCACUGGUCCAUUACUGACGCUCAUGCACGAAAGCGUGGGGAGCAAACAGG
rnacentral:rRNA from 1 species